UACGUAGGUGGCAAGCGUUGUCCGGAUUUACUGGGCGUAAAGAGCGCGCAGGCGGCCAAGUCAGUCGAAUGUGAAAGCCCCCCGGCUUAACUGGGGGAGGGUCAUUCGAUACUGCUCGGCUCGAAGACAGGAGAGGGAAGCGGAAUUCCCGGUGUAGUGGUGAAAUGCGUAGAUAUCGGGAGGAACACCAGUGGCGAAGGCGGCUUUCUGGCCUGUUCUUGACGCUGAGGCGCGAAAGCUAGGGGAGCAAACGGGG
rnacentral:rRNA from 1 species